UAUUAAAUACUUCGGCUCAACCGAAGGCAUGUAUCCAAAACUGGAAGUCUAGAGGUAUGUAGGGGAGAAUGGAACUUACGGUGUAGCAGUGAAAUGCGUAGAUAUCGUAAGGAACGCCAAUGGUGAAGACAGUCCUCUGGACAUUACCUGACACUGAGGAGCGAAAGCGUGGGGAGCGAACGGGAUUAGAUACCCCGGUAGUCCACGCUGUAAACGAUGCAUACUAGGAAUUUGGAGAAUCGACCCUCUGAGUUUCGAAGCUAACGCGUUAAGUAUGCCGCCUGGGUAGUACGGCCGCAAGGCUAAAACUCAAAGGAAUUGACGGGGACCCGCACAAGCGGUGGAACAUGUGGUUUAAUUCGAUAACAACCGAAGAACCUCACCAGGACUUGACAUCCUAGGAAUCCUCUGGAAACAGGGGAGUGCCCGCAAGGGAGCCUAGAGACAGGUGUUGCACGGCCGUCGUCAGCUCGUGCUGUGAAGUGUCCCGUUAAGUCGGUCAACGAGCGCAACCCUUAUUGCAUGUUGAAUUUCUCAUGCGAGACUGCCGGCGUUAAGUCGGAGGAAGGCGGGGAUGACGUCAGGUCAGCGUGACUCUUACGUUCUGGGCUACACACGUGUUACAAUGGGUAGUAACAAAGGGUCGCUAAGCCGUAAGGUGGAGCUAAUCCCAUCAAACCUACCCCCAGUUCGGAUUGAGGGCUGAAACUCGCCCUCAUGAAGUUGGAAUCGCUAGUAACCGUAGGUCAGCUAUACUACGGUGAAUACGUUCUCGGGUCUUGUACACACCGCCCGUCAAGUCAGGAAAGUCGGUAGCACCCAAAGCGCCCAACAGGGCACCACGGUGAGAUCGGUAAUCAGGACUAAGUCGUAAAAUUGUUGCGACCUAUCAGAGUAAUUUGAUAGAAAAACUCGACU
rnacentral:rRNA from 1 species